CGCGUAGGCGGCCUGAUAAGUAGGGGGUGAAAUCUUGCGGCUUAACCGCAAGGCUGCCUUCUAAACUGUCGGGCUCGAGCACAGUAGAGGCAGGUGGAAUUCCCGGUGUAGCGGUGGAAUGCGUAGAGAUCGGGAAGAACAUCAGUGGCGAAGGCGGCCUGCUGGGCUGUUGCUGACGCUGAGGCGCGACAGCGUGGGGAGCAAACA
rnacentral:rRNA from 1 species